UACGUAGGGGCCUAGCGUUGUCCGGAAUUAUUGGGCGUAAAGAGCUCGUAGGCGGUUCGGCAAGUCGGAUGUGAAAUCUCCACGCUCAACGUGGAGGGGCCAUUCGAAACUGCCGUGACUCGAGUCCGGUAGGGGAGUGUGGAAUUCCCGGUGUAGCGGUGAAAUGCGCAGAUAUCGGGAGGAACACCAGUAGCGAAGGCGGCGACCUGGGACAAUACUGACGCUGAGGUGCGAAAGCGUGGGGAGCAAACAGG
rnacentral:rRNA from 1 species